UACGUAGGAGACGAGCGUUGUCCGGAGUUACUGGGCGUAAAGGGCGCGCAGGCGGCCGGCCUUGUGUGCGGUGAAAGCUCCUGGCUUAACUAGGAGAGGUCCGUGCAAACGGGUCGGCCUGAGCGUCGGAGAGGGGCAUGGAAUUCCGGGUGGAGCGGUGAAAUGCGUAGAGAUCCGGAGGAACACCAAUGGCGAAGGCAGUGCCCUGGCCGACGGCUGACGCUCAGGCGCGAAAGCGUGGGGAGCAAACAGG
rnacentral:rRNA from 1 species